rnacentral:rRNA from 1 species
UACGUAGGGUGCGAGCGUUAAUCGGAAUUACUGGGCGUAAAGCGUGCGCAGGCGGUGAUGUAAGACAGGUGUGAAAUCCCCGGGCUCAACCUGGGAACUGCAUUUGUGACUGUAGAGCUGGAGUACGGUAGAGGGGGAUGGAAUUCCGCGUGUAGCAGUGAAAUGCGUAGAUAUGCGGAGGAACACCGAUGGCGAAGGCAAUCCCCUGGACCUGUACUGACGCUCAUGCACGAAAGCGUGGGGAGCAAACAGG